ensembl:antisense Gm12200 predicted gene 12200
ACUUGGUGCACAGACAGAGGAAUCACACCAUGCUGCUGCCCCAGGUGUCAUCCACGCAAAUUAGAACACAUCUCUCCCCUCCCUCAGGCUCAGGAAGAUCGGGAACCACUUACUUACUAUAUUGCUUAGAAAAGGGAGAGGGAGGCUUGUCACAGUGCUCGUGUAGAGGUCAGAGGACAACUUCAGGUUUCAGUCCUUGUUGCAGGUGGCAUUCACUGCUGGUUACAUCAGGCUAGCCCAUGAGCUUCCUGGGAGUCUCCUAUCUGUGCGGUCCACUUCCCCAUUGGAACAUUGGGAAUGCAGGUCUCUUCUUGCUGGGGAUUUGCAGGGGCUUAUGGUUAGGCCUUACAUCCUGGGCGGCAGCAGUCUCACAGAACGCACACUGUGGAGCCGAUCUGGGCGAGGUCAUCUGCAGGAAGAUGCAUAAUCAGGGCACGGCAAGAGGCCCUGUUUGGCAGCAGGCAGGUUCUUUGGCGGCUCUGGAAGCAGAGAGCGGGCUCAGCCCCACGGGGGCCAUCAGCACAGAGUCCCACUGACCUACAGAAAAGCCACCUCCAGCCUAGCUUUAUUCUGAAGCCCCAGCUUCUCUGAAGUGUUCAUGUGUCCAACCAGGGCGGUGACCCCCAAGAACAUUGCUGUUGUGCUUCACGUUCCUGCUGCUGUGCCUUCUCUGCAGUGACGGGCUGUGACAUGGACUUGUGAGGCAAAUAAGCUCUUUCUCCAUUAACUUGCUUUUUUCAGCUGCCCUGUAGGUGUGAACAAGGCUUCUGUCGGACAGAUGUAGAAACAAGCCUAGCAGAUACCGCAGGGGCCAGCAGUGCAGGACAGCCCUGUCUGACUCCAGCAGCAGUACUGACCUCAGAGACUGACAGGUCACUCUGAGGCAGCAACUGUCUUUGGCCCCAGUGGACAACAGGCAGCUGCAGGCAUGAGCGCCUCUGGCUUUGGUUUAGACAUUGUCUCAGAACCAAACUGCAGUGACCCAGAGGCACCGUCAGCCCCACCUGAUUUUAGCCAGCGUGAAACUGAGGUUGGCACUGUGGCACCCGCAGGAGAAGCAGAGACAUGCUUUUAUGAAUGGCCAUAUUGCGCGACCCUUGGACAGGCCUCACUGCUGCCUUUUCGAUGUCUUGGACUCAUUGGGAUCACUGGAAUUCAUUAAUUCAUCAUUCACUCGUUCAUCACUCACUCAUUCAUUCAUUUGCUUGUUUACAGACAGGAUAUCGUGUAGUCCAAGAUGGCCUCAAACUUUGUAGGAAGCUGAGGAUGACUCAGAACUUCUGAGCUCUGUGACCCAUUCACCAGAGUGCUGGCACUGUAGCUGUGAAUGGCUGGAGAGCAGACGCAGGACGUAAUGCUUGUUAGGCAAGCACUCUGCCAACUGAGCCCUAUCACAGUGGGGUGUUAGUGGGUUGUGUUAGUAAGUAAGGCGUGGAGGGUCAGCUUUCAGGGUUGCUGAGUACCAUAGGCCCUGAACAGCUCCAGGGACAAAAGCCCACAGGCUGGACCCCCUGGUGGUUGUCUCUCCUUCAGUGUGUGUGUGUGUGUGUGUGUGUGUGUGUCUGUCUGUCUGUCUGUCUGUCCGUCCGUCAACAUUGUGUGAUUGUUUGAUUAGGAAUGGCCCCCACAGAUUCAUGUGUUUAAAUGCUUGGCCCAUAGGCAUUUAUGUCACUAUUAGGAGGUGUGGCCUUGUUGGAAGAAGUGUGUCACUGUGGGGGUGGGCUUUGAAGUCUCCUAUACUUACUUAAGCUUUGCCCUCUGUGGAUUAAGAUGUAGAACUUUCAGCUCCUCUAGCACCAUGUCUGACUGGACACUGCCGUGCUUCUUGCCAUGAUGAUAAUAAACUAAACCUCUGAAACU